rnacentral:rRNA from 1 species
GGACUACCGGGGUAUCUAAUCCUGUUCGCUCCCCACGCUUUCGCGCCUUAGCGUCAGUUCCGUCCCAGCGAGCUGCCUUCGCCGUUGGUGUUCUUCCUGAUAUCUGCGCAUUCCACCGCUACACCAGGAGUUCCACUCGCCUCUUCCGGACUCUAGCCCGGCAGUAUCCGCUGACAUUCAAAGGUUGAGCCUUUGACUUUCACAGCGGACUUACCGGGCCGCCUACGCGCGCUUUACGCCCAAUGAUUCCGGACAACGCUUGCCCCCUACGUAUUACCGCGGCUGCUGGCAC